AUUGAACGCUGGCGGCAGGCUUAACACAUGCAAGUCGAGCGGAGCGAGGGUGCUUGCACCUUAGCUUAGCGGCGGACGGGUGAGUAAUGCUUAGGAAUCUGCCUAUUAGUGGGGGACAACAUUCCGAAAGGGAUGCUAAUACCGCAUACGCCCUACGGGGGAAAGCAGGGGAUCUUCGGACCUUGCGCUAAUAGAUGAGCCUAAGUCGGAUUAGCUAGUUGGUGGGGUAAAGGCCUACCAAGGCGACGAUCUGUAGCGGGUCUGAGAGGAUGAUCCGCCACACUGGGACUGGAACACGGCCCAGACUCCUACGGGAGGCAGCAGUGGGGAAUAUUGGACAAUGGGCGGAAGCCUGAUCCAGCCAUGCCGCGUGUGUGAAGAAGGCCUUUUGGUUGUAAAGCACUUUAAGCGAGGAGGAGGCUACUAGUAUUAAUACUACUGGAUAGUGGACGUUACUCGCAGAAUAAGCACCGGCUAACUCUGUGCCAGCAGCCGCGGUAA
rnacentral:rRNA from 1 species